ACCUAAACCCGAUAUGCGUGGAUGCCGAUUUUUCAUCGGCAGAAACAUUAGCGGGACCGAAC
rnacentral:sRNA from 1 species